rnacentral:rRNA from 1 species
AUGAUACCCUUUAGCUUCACAGUGACAAGUCAUUUUCUCAUUACUUUGGCUCUUUCAUUUUCCAUUUUUAUAGGCAUUACGAUCGUUGGAUUUCAAAGACAUGGGCUUCAUUUUUUUAGCUUCUUAUUACCUGCGGGAGUCCCACUGCCGUUAGCACCUUUCUUAGUACUCCUUGAGCUAAUCUCUUAUUGUUUUCGUGCAUUAAGCUUAGGAAUACGUUUAUUUGCUAAUAUGAUGGCCGGUCAUAGUUUAGUAAAGAUUUUAAGUGGGUUUGCUUGGACUAUGCUAUUUCUGAAUAAUAUUUUCUAUUUCAUAGGAGAUCUUGGUCCCUUAUUUAUAGUUCUAGCAUUAACCGGUCUGGAAUUAGGUGUAGCUAUAUCACAAGCUCAUGUUUCUACGAUCUCAAUUUGUAUUUACUUGAAUGAUGCUACAAAUCUCCAUCAAAAUGAGUCAUUUCAUAAUUGA